rnacentral:sRNA from 1 species
AGGUGUUUGGAUUAAUGGGACCUCCCAGAAAUAGUGUGUGCAGCCUCCCAGGGGACAACUUCUGCUGUCAGCCACCCAGACCAGUCAGCUGUGGAGAGCAGCAGCCUGCAGAUGGGACACCAGCGCUGAGUGGGACAGAUGCUGGCUUGGCCUUGGGAUGUCACAUGCAUACCCCACACUGGACGUGAGGAUUCCAGGGGCUCAUGGGAUCUGCCUGCUGCACCCGCAGGUGUGGCCGGUGUGCUUGUGGGACACCCGUUUGACACGGUCAAGGCCCUUGGGACUGAAAUAAUCCAAGAUCUGGAUCUCCUCUAUAGCUCCCAGAACCACAGCCACCGUCCUGAAGCACACGGCCUUCACACAUGUUUCUGC